rnacentral:rRNA from 1 species
UACAGAGGGUGCAAGCGUUGUUCGGAAUUACUGGGCGUAAAGCGCGUGUAGGCGGCCAGAUAAGUCGGAUGUGAAAUCCCUCAGCUUAACUGAGGAAGUGCAUUCGAAACUGCUUGGCUUGAGUGUCGGAGGGGAUGGCGGAAUUCCCGGUGUAGAGGCGAAAUUCGUUGAUAUCGGGAGGAACAUCUGUGGCGAAGGCGGCCAUCUGGACGACAACUGACGCUGAGACGCGAAAGCGUGGGUAGCAAACAGG